CACGUAGGGCGCGAGCGUUGUCCGGAAUUAUUGGGCGUAAAGGGCUCGUAGGUGGUCUGUCGCGUCGAAAGUGAAAAUCCGGAGCUCAACUCCGGACCUGCUUUCGAUACGGGCAGACUAGAGGUAGGCAGGGGAGAAUGGAAUUCCUGGUGUAGCGGUGGAAUGCGCAGAUAUCAGGAGGAACACCGGUGGCGAAGGCGGUUCUCUGGGCCUUACCAGACACUGAGGAGCGAAAGCGUGGGUAGCGAACAGG
rnacentral:misc_RNA from 1 species